UACGGAGGGUGCAAGCGUUAUCCGGAAUCACUGGGUUUAAAGGGUGCGUAGGCGGCAACGUAAGUCAGAGGUGAAAGCUCACGGCUCAACUGUGGAAUUGCCUUUGAUACUGCGUAGCUUGAAUGAGUACGAGGCAGGCGGAAUGUGGCAUGUAGCGGUGAAAUGCUUAGAUAUGCCAUAGAACACCGAUUGCGAAGGCAGCCUGCCAGAGCUCUAUUGACGCUGAGGCACGAAAGCGUGGGGAGCGAACAGG
rnacentral:rRNA from 1 species